rnacentral:rRNA from 1 species
GACGACCGCUGGCGGCGUGCUUAACACAUGCAAGUCGAACGAAGAGCGAUGGAAGCUUGCUUCUAUCAAUCUUAGUGGCGAACGGGUGAGUAACGCGUAAUCAACCUGCCCUUCAGAGGGGGACAACAGUUGGAAACGACUGCUAAUACCGCAUACGAUCUAAUCUCGGCAUCGAGGAUAGAUGAAAGGUGGCCUCUACAUGUAAGCUAUCACUGAAGGAGGGGAUUGCGUCUGAUUAGCUAGUUGGAGGGGUAACGGCCCACCAAGGCGAUGAUCAGUAGCCGGUCUGAGAGGAUGAACGGCCACAGUGGGACUGAGACACGGCCCAGACUCCUACGGGAGGCAGCAGUGGGGAAUCUUCCGCAAUGGACGAAAGUCUGACGGAGCAACGCCGCGUGAGUGAUGACGGCCUUCGGGUUGUAAAGCUCUGUUAAUCGGGACGAAAGGCCUUCUUGCGAAUAGUGAGAAGGAUUGACGGUACCGGAAGAGAAAGCCACGGCUAACUACGUG